rnacentral:RNase_P_RNA from 2 species
CCAGACGGCCGGAUGGCCGCUGUCGGCGCGUGAGCGUCGGCAGAGGAAAGUCCGGGCUCCACGGAAAUACGGUGCCGGGUAACGCCCGGCGGGGGCGACCCCAGGGAAAGUGCCACAGAAAGCAAACCGCCCGGCCGUCUUCGGAUCGCCGGGCAAGGGUGAAAGGGUGCGGUAAGAGCGCACCGCGCGCCUGGCAACAGGGGCGGCAUGGCAAACCCCACCGGGAGCAAAACCGAAUAGGGGCGGCCGGCGGCGGGAGCGAUCCCGGCCGCGGGUGCAUUUCCGCACCGUCGCCCGGGUUGGUUGCAGGAGGCGGUCGGCGACGAUCGUCCCAGAUGAAUGGCCAUCCCCUGCUUGCAGGGACAGAACCCGGCUUACAGGCCGUCUGGUCCG